rnacentral:rRNA from 1 species
GACGAACGCUGGCGGCGUGCCUAAUACAUGCAAGUCGAACGCAGUGGGGACGGGUGAGUAACACGUGGGUCACCUCCCAUCAGAGGGGAUAAAACUUGGAAACAGGUGCUAAACCGAACUUGAUGGCUGGACCCGCGGUGGAUUAGCGAGUUGGGGGGGUAACGGCUCACCAAGGCCACGAUGCAUAGCCGACCUGAGAGGGGGAUCGGCCACACUGGAACUGAGACACGGCCCAGACUCCUACGGGAGGCAGCAGUAGGGAAUCUUCGACAAUGGACGAAAGUCUGACCGAGCAACGCCGCGUGAGUGAAGAAGGUUUUCGGAUCGUAAAACUCUGUUGUUAGAGAAGCGGUAUCUAACCAGAAAGCCACGGCUAACUACGUGCCAGCAGCCGCGGUAAUUC